UGUCAAGGGAUGGGAAUCGAACCCAUGACCUUCCGCUUACCGGGCAGAUGCCAUGACCACUAGGCCACAUAUGAC
rnacentral:tRNA from 1 species